CCUACGGGAGGCAGCAGUGGGGAAUAUUGGACAAUGGGCGAAAGCCUGAUCCAGCAAUGCCGCGUGAGUGAUGAAGGCCUUAGGGUUGUAAAGCUCUUUUACCAGGGAUGAUAAUGACAGUACCUGGAGAAUAAGCUCCGGCUAACUCCGUGCCAGCAGCCGCGGUAAUACGGAGGGAGCUAGCGUUGUUCGGAAUUACUGGGCGUAAAGCGUACGUAGGCGGUUAUUCAAGUCAGAGGUGAAAAGCCUGGAGCUCAACUCCAGAACUGCCUUUGAAACUAGAUAGCUAGAAUCUUGGAGAGGUGAGUGGAAUUCCGAGUGUAGAGGUGAAAUUCGUAGAUAUUCGGAAGAACACCAGUGGCGAAGGCGACUCACUGGACAAGUAUUGACGCUGAGGUACGAAAGCGUGGGGAGCAAACAGGAUUAGAUACCCUGGUAGUCCACGCCGCAAAACGAUGAUAACUAGCUGUUCGGGCUCUACGAGCUUGAGUGGCGCAGCUAACGCAUUAAGUUAUCCGCCGUCGGGAGGUACGGUCGCGAAGAAGUUAAAACGUUAAAAGGUAAAGUUAGUACGGACGUAGAGACGUGCCGAACGGACGACGACGAGGGAGGAGG
rnacentral:rRNA from 1 species